rnacentral:tRNA from 1 species
GCCCAGGUGGCGGAAUUGGUAGACGCGCUAGGUUCAGGUCCUAGUGAGCUUCGGCUCGUGGAAGUUCGAGUCUUCUCUUGGGCACCA